GUCUGCUGCAUCUCUCUGGAAGCAGCGUGGUAAUCUUCCUAGGGUAAAAUGAACCUUCUCGGACCCUACGUCAGCUUUGUGGCCCUGUGAUAAGAACAAGAAGAAACAGUAAAGGAAACGCACCGUUUCGGCUGAAUCAGAUUUCAGAUCAGGAGACUCAAGGUCAUAAAAAGAAGGACGCUGCAAGAAGGGCGGAAGGGGAUCUCUCCCACCCCUGAACUUCGCUACACCUACUUCUAUAUUAAUGGCAGUGCGUGUCCAUUCCAGCCUUGUGGGUCUCCCCCUGAAUGCAGCAAGCUUCCUUUGAAGUCGAUAAAAGGCUGAUGUGUGUGUGUGUGUGAAGGGAAGCAGAGUUCUUGGCCAGGGAGGAGAUGUGUAGAUACUGAGGAAACAGGAGGACAAAAUGAACAGAGUGAUCUCAAGUUGGAAUGACC
rnacentral:lncRNA from 1 species